rnacentral:rRNA from 1 species
GAUGAACGCUGACAGAAUGCUUAACACAUGCAAGUCUACUUGAAGCUAACUUCGGUUAGUGGAGGGUGGCGGACGGGUGAGUAACGCGUAAAGAACUUGCCUCGCAGUUUGGGACAACAUUUGGAAACGAAUGCUAAUACUAAAUAUUAUGAUACUUCUGCAUGGAAGAAUCAUGAAAGCUAUAUGCGCUGUGAGAGAGCUUUGCGUCCCAUUAGCUAGUUGGAGAGGUAACGGCUCACCAAGGCGAUGAUGGGUAGCCGGCCUGAGAGGGUGAACGGCCACAAGGGGACUGAGACACGGCCCUUACUCCUACGGGAGGCAGCAGUGGGGAAUAUUGGACAAUGGACCAAAAGUCUGAUCCAGCAAUUCUGUGUGCACGAUGAAGUUUUUCGGAAUGUAAAGUGCUUUCAGUUGGGAAGAAGCAAGUGACGGUACCAACAGAAGAAGCGACGGCUAAAUACGUGCCAGCAGCCGCGGUAAUACGUAUGUCGCAAGCGUUAUCCGGAUUUAUUGGGCGUAAAGCGCGUCUAGGUGGUUAUGUAAGUCUGAUGUGAAAAUGCGGGGCUCAACUCCGUAUUGCGUUGGAAACUGUAUGGCUAGAGUACUGGAGAGGUAAGCGGAACUACAAGUGUAGAGGUGAAAUUCGUAGAUAUUUGUAGGAAUGCCGAUGGGGAAGCCAGCUUACUGGACAGAUACUGACGCUAAAGCGCGAAAGCGUGGGUAGCAAACAGG